rnacentral:rRNA from 1 species
AGAUUAAACUGAAGAGUUUGAUCCUGGCUCAGAUUGAACGCUGGCGGGAUGCUUUACACAUGCAAGUCGGACGGCAGCACGGGGCUUCGGCCUGGUGGCGAGUGGCGAACGGGUGAGUAAUGUAUCGGAACGUGCCCGGUAGCGGGGGAUAACUACGCGAAAGCGUGGCUAAUACCGCAUACGCCCUACGGGGGAAAGCGGGGACCUUCGGGCCUCGCACUAUUGGAGCGGCCGAUAUCGGAUUAGCUAGUUGGUGGGGUAACGGCCUACCAAGGCGACGAUCCGUAGCUGGUUUGAGAGGACGACCAGUCACACUGGGACUGAGACACGGCCCAGACUCCUACGGGAGGCAGCAGUGGGGAAUUUUGGACAAUGGGGGCAACCCUGAUCCAGCCAUCCCGCGUGUGCGAUGAAGGCCUUCGGGUUGUAAAGCACUUUUGGCAGGAAAGAAACGGCACGGGCUAAUAUCCUGUGCAACUGACGGUACCUGCAGAAUAAGCACCGGCUAACUACGUGCCAGCAGCCGCGGUAAUACGUAGGGUGCAAGCGUUAAUCGGAAUUACUGGGCGUAAAGCGUGCGCAGGCGGUUCGGAAAGAAAGAUGUGAAAUCCCAGGGCUUAACCUUGGAACUGCAUUUUUAACUACCGAGCUAGAGUGUGUCAGAGGGAGGUGGAAUUCCGCGUGUAGCAGUGAAAUGCGUAGAUAUGCGGAGGAACACCGAUGGCGAAGGCAGCCUCCUGGGAUAACACUGACGCUCAUGCACGAAAGUGUGGGGAGCAAACAGGAUUAGAUACCCUGGUAGUCCACGCCCUAAACGAUGUCAACUAGCUGUUGGGGCCUUCGGGCCUUGGUAGCGCAGCUAACGCGUGAAGUUGACCGCCUGGGGAGUACGGUCGCAAGAUUAAAACUCAAAGGAAUUGACGGGGACCCGCACAAGCGGUGGAUGAUGUGGAUUAAUUCGAUGCAACGCGAAAAACCUUACCUACCCUUGACAUGUCUGGAAUCCCGAAGAGAUUUGGGAGUGCUCGCAAGAGAACCGGAACACAGGUGCUGCAUGGCUGUCGUCAGCUCGUGUCGUGAGAUGUUGGGUUAAGUCCCGCAACGAGCGCAACCCUUGUCAUUAGUUGCUACGAAAGGGCACUCUAAUGAGACUGCCGGUGACAAACCGGAGGAAGGUGGGGAUGACGUCAAGUCCUCAUGGCCCUUAUGGGUAGGGCUUCACACGUCAUACAAUGGUCGGGACAGAGGGUUGCCAACCCGCGAGGGGGAGCCAAUCCCAGAAACCCGGUCGUAGUCCGGAUCGCAGUCUGCAACUCGACUGCGUGAAGUCGGAAUCGCUAGUAAUCGCGGAUCAGCAUGUCGCGGUGAAUACGUUCCCGGGUCUUGUACACACCGCCCGUCACACCAUGGGAGUGGGUUUUACCAGAAGUAGUUAGCCUAACCGCAAGGGGGGCGAUUACCACGGUAGGAUUCAUGACUGGGGUGAAGUCGUAACAAGGUAGCCGUAUCGGAAGGUGCGGCUGGAUCACCUCCUUU